rnacentral:lncRNA from 1 species
UUUUUUUUUUUUUUUUUUGCAUAAAGCAUGUGUCUCUGAUGAUUUUCCAAUGUGUACACCUAACAUCCCUGAUUUUCUGUAUUGGUUGUGGCAGUGGGAUUGCCAAAUGGCAGAGAGACAAAUACUAGGAUAAAAAUUCCUCUCUGUAUCCAGACAGAUUUAAUCAAUAUCUUCUUGUGUGAGGCGGCAGACUAGAGUAAAUAUGUUGCACCUGCUAUAGUACUAUUUGAAUUUAGAUGAACUCUAUAUUAUUUUAAUUCCUCCAAGCAAGAAAAAUGAGGACAAUAAUACUUAUGCUGAGAGACUGCUAGAACAAGCUGCUAUGGGACCUGAGUUACUGCCUGUCUUCCUGGGCAACUCCUUCUACCGCCAUUGGAUAUGACCAUCAGGUGGUUUUAAAGUAUGUCCCAAUACAUCUGACACUCCUUUCUUGAAAACAUGAAGCCUAGUACACUCCCUCAUGAUGUGGGCCAGACUCCUGAUGAUUCACUUCAAAGAAAUAGAAUGUGGUGAAAGUGAUGUUACAGGAUUUCCACAGCUAGGUCAUAAGGAUAGCUUGUGCUCGCUCGUGCGCGCUCUCUCUCUCUCAGGAGAUGAUCUUUUUCUGGCUAUUGCACUCCAGAGUGUCACAGUAGUUUUACCUUAGACUUUUUUUUUUCCAGUGGGGCAACAAGUUGCAGAUGGGGUGACUUUUAUGGUUUGGGUUCUUUUGCAAGCAGGGAAAGUCUCCGUAAUCUGAAGAGGAAAGGGUAUUCUCUGUGGUUAGCUGGUUUCAGGGGGACGAACAGUUCUAAGCUUAACUAAUCAACUGUAAACCAGAAAGUAUUGAGAUGAGUUUCAAUCAAUUUAGAAGUUUAUUUUGCCAAGGUUAAGGACAUGCCUAUUGCACAGCCUCAGGAAGUCCUAACAACAUGUGCCCAAAGUGAUCAGGCUACAGCUUGGUUUUAUACAUUUUAGAGAGACAUAGACAUCAGUCAAUAUGAGACAGCCGCGUGGGAGGGGUCCCUGGCAAAACUCCAACCCGCAUGGGCACUGGCGUGGAGCUACAGAAGUUCACACAGUUGGCAGUGGGGCGGAGCCUGGCCCCUCCUCUUCCUGUGUGAAACCUAGGAUUCAAACUGCAAGGCGGGAAGCACACUAGAGUAACUCUGGCCUUGUGGAGAGUCCCUGUUCCCCCUUUUAUUCCUUUUCACCCAAUAAUACCCUGUUUUACUCACCCUUCAAACCAUCUACAAGCCUAAACUUUUGCGGCUGUGGGACAAGGAACCCCGUCUUUAGCUGAACCAAGGAAAGGUCCCGCAACAAAUUGGUGUAAGAUAUACAUUGGUUUGGUCUAGAAAGGUGGGAUAACUAGAAGUGGGGGCUUCUGGGUCAUAGGCGGACUCAAAGAUUUUCUGAUUGGCAAUUGGUUGAAAGAGUUAUUAUCUAAAUAGCUGGAAUCAGUAGAAAGGAAUAUCUGGGGCCAGGUGUGGUGACUCAUGCCUGUAUUCCCAGCAUUUUGGGAGGCUGAGGCAAGAAGAUUGCUUCAGCUAGAAGUUCUAGACCAGCCUGGGCAACAUAAGCAAGACCUCGUCUCUACAAACAAAAAAAAUUAUUAGCUACUUGGGAAGCUGAAGUGAGAGGAUCACUUGAGCCCAGGAGGCUGAGGCCGCCAUGAGCCACGAUCUUGCUGCUACCAUCUCAAAAGAAAAAGGAAAAAGAAAAGAACAACAACAAAAAAGAUAAGAGGUUAUGGAGACCAAGAUUUUCUCUUUUUUUGAGAUGGAGUCUUGCUUUGUCACCCUGGCUGGAAUACAGUGGCCCAAUCUCAGUUCACUGCAACCUCCGCCUCCCAGGUUCAAGCAAUUCUCCUGCCUCAGUCUCCUGAGUAGCUGGGCUGCUUGAGUGUCAUAUGGUGUUCAGAAGAAUCACUCCUCCAGAAUGAGUGAGGAGACAUGGACAAACACAGACCCUUUCCUUUUUGCUUGAACCCACUGAACACAUGCUCCAACAUGGUCCUCCAAAUUCCGUUUUUUUUGUCUCAUGAUAGUGUAAACCAAAAAUAAAAUUCUAUGCACCUCAACCUACUGAUGCCCACCCC